ACGGCUCAGUAACACGUGGAUAACCUGCCCUUGGGUCCGGCAUAACCCCGGGAAACUGGGGAUAAUUCCGGAUAACGCACAUAUGCUGGAAUGCUUUAUGCGUAAAAUGGAUUCGUCUGCCCAAGGAUGGGUCUGCGGCCUAUCAGGUAGUAGUGGGUGUAAUGUACCUACUAGCCUACAACGGGUACGGGUUGUGAGAGCAAGAGCCCGGAGAUGGAUUCUGAGACAUGAAUCCAGGCCCUACGGGGCGCAGCAGGCGCGAAAACUUUACAAUGCGGGAAACCGUGAUAAGGGGACACCGAGUGCUAGCAUCAUAUGCUGGCUGUCCGGGUGUGUAAAAUACACCUGUUAGCAAGGGCCGGGCAAGACCGGUGCCAGCCGCCGCGGUAACACCGGCGGCCCGAGUGGUGAUCGUGAUUAUUGGGUCUAAAGGGUCCGUAGCCGGUUUGGUCAGUCCUCCGGGAAAUCUGAUAGCUCAACUGUUAGGCUUUCGGGGGAUACUGCCAGACUUGGAACCGGGAGAG
rnacentral:rRNA from 1 species